UGGCCCUCUUGGGGGCAUGUGCACACCUACCAUCCUCAUCUCUCCACCUGUGCACCUCUUGUAGAUUUGGAAUUGAUUAUCCGAGGCAACUCGGUCGUGAGGACUGCUAGCACUUAGCUGGCUUUCUUUGCAAUUCCAGGUCUAUGUUUUUCAUAUACCCCAUUGUAUGUAACAGAAUGUAUCAUUGGGCCCUUGUGCCUAUAAACCUUAUACAACUUUCAGCAACGGAUCUCUUGGCUCUCGCAUCGAUGAAGAACGCAGCGAAAUGCGAUAAGUAAUGUGAAUUGCAGAAUUCAGUGAAUCAUCGAAUCUUUGAACGCACCUUGCGCUCCUUGGUAUUCCGAGGAGCAUGCCUGUUUGAGUGUCAUUAAAUUCUCAACCAUUAUCAACUUUUGCUGAUAAUGGCUUGGAUGUGGGGGUCUAUUUUGCUGGCUUCUCAGAUAGUCAGCUCCCCUUAAAUGCAUUAGCCGGUGCCCCGCGUGGACUGUCUAUUGGUGUGAUAAUUAUCUACGCUAUAGACAUCUGCAAUCAUAUGGGUUUGCGCUGCUUCUAACAGUCUGUUGAUUCAGACAAUACAUGACAAUUUGACCUCAAAUCAGGUAGGACUACCCGCUGAACUUAAGCAUAUCAAUAAGCGGAGGA
rnacentral:rRNA from 1 species